UGGAGCGUCCUUGAAUCACAGCCUUGUCCUCACUGGGGGCCGGCCACUGGCUCCUUUUAUAUAUCUUUGGAGGAUGCAAAUGCUGGUGGGGCAGCCGGCUGCUCUGGGGGAAGGCAUGUUUUCCUGCCUGAAUUUUGGGAAAUCACACAGAAAAGAGGCAUCCGAGCCUGGCAUUGUGGCCCUGCCAAGUCAUCCACUGACAGACGUGUUCUGAUCAGAGCUGUUUGCCCCACAGGAAAAGAAUCAGCUUUCUAUCAAGUGGACUCUGGGCACCACCCCAGAAAGCUCAAGCUCCAGAGGACCUGGAGAAGCUGACCCAGUGAUGCCUGCUGAGGCCCAACCAGGCUAAAUCCCCGGAUCGAAUGCUCCCACAUCUGUCCCCAGGAACCCCAGACAACAGAGAGGGCCUGACAUGGAGUGUCCCCGCCCGGAUGGCAUCCCUGGAAAAGGCUGGAGUGUUUCUAAAGAGGCUGUUCAGACAUCACAUCACAGUCCCAGACGGCCGAGAGGUUCUUGCACUCACUUGGCUGCCCUCCCUGGGAAAUGCUUUGGAUCAGACAGCACUUCUGGGUUGUUUUUGCCUGAGGAAAGUAGUAAGAAUUCAGCAAGAAUCCCAUGGUUGAAGGAAAAGUCAGUGGAUUUACUUAGCAAAAGCAUGCAUCGAGAACCGUCCAGGAGGGCUGUGUGAAUACCAAGAACCUUUCCUCAAAGCUUUAGGCUCUUGACUCAGAAUCCUCUACGUGGGACGGAUUUGUGAGGAAGCUGUAGGUGAAAACCUGGUCUUUAUUCCACGCUUAAGUAGCACAUCAGAAGAGAAAGAAUCAGAAUCCAACUGUGGACAUGGGACACCUGGUCUCCAGGCCCACCUCAGCCCUGUCUUUCUGAGUGGUUGUGGACAGGCUUCCUCAUUUGCAAAAUAAGAAGGUUGGUCUGUAUGAGCUCUCAGCUCGAAUGCUUACAGCAUUGGUGAGUUGAGACAACAUGUGACAUGUGCGUCAAAAUGUGACUUAAAAAAAAAUACAUCUCUGAAAAUA